rnacentral:rRNA from 1 species
GGUUUAAUUCGAAGCAACGCGAAGAACCUUACCAAAUCUUGACAUCCUUUGACAACUCUAGAGAUAGAGCUUUCCCCUUCGGGGGACAAAGUGACAGGUGGUGCAUGGUUGUCGUCAGCUCGUGUCGUGAGAUGUUGGGUUAAGUCCCGCAACGAGCGCAACCCUUAAGCUUAGUUGCCAUCAUUAAGUUGGGCACUCUAAGUUGACUGCCGGUGACAAACCGGA